UUUGGUGGCGAUAGCGAAGAGGCCACACCCGUUCCCAUGCCGAACACGGAAGUUAAGCUCUUCAGCGCCGAUGGUAGUCGGGGGUUUCCCCCUGUGAGAGUAGGACGCCGCCAAGC
rnacentral:rRNA from 2 species